rnacentral:rRNA from 1 species
UACGUAGGUGGCAAGCGUUGUCCGGAAUUACUGGGCGUAAAGCGCACGUAGGCGGCUUUCUAAGUCGGGGGUGAAAUCCUGGAGCUCAACUCCAGAACUGCCUUCGAAACUGGAGAGCUCGAGUCCGGGAGAGGUGAGUGGAACUGCGAGUGUAGAGGUGAAAUGCGUAGAUAUUCGCAAGAACACCAGUGGCGAAGGCGGCUCACUGGCCCGGUACUGACGCUGAGGUGCGAAAGCGUGGGGAGCAAACAGG